rnacentral:rRNA from 1 species
UACGUAGGGCGCGAGCGUUGUCCGGAAUUAUUGGGCGUAAAGAGCUUGUAGGCGGUUUGUCGCGUCUGCUGUGAAAGCCCGGGGCUUAACCCCGGGUUUGCAGUGGGUACGGGCAGACUAGAGUGCAGUAGGGGAGACUGGAAUUCCUGGUGUAGCGGUGGAAUGCGCAGAUAUCAGGAGGAACACCGAUGGCGAAGGCACAUCUCUGGGCCGUAACUGACGCUGAGGAGCGAAAGCGUGGGGAGCGAACAGGAUUAGAAACCCCUGUAGUCC